GUAUGAAAUCACACAUAGGCUGAGAGAUCCCUACUGAUUACACAUCUCAGGACUUUCUGAUGUAUGGCUUAGUCUAACAAGUACUUUGUGAGUACUUAGAAUUACCUUGUGCUCAUGAAAUGUGUCACAGUUACACGUGUUUUUUUGCCAGGAAAGUGUGAAUAACUAAAGCACAGGGAUGAAACACACUACCUCUGGGGACGAGGAAGGAGAUAGAAGGCAGUCUCAAAUUUAAACAUCUUAAAAUGCACUAGAGAGAACAAUAUCCAAUUCUAUCACAGCCAAUGAUCCUUUUGCAUCACCCUCCUCAAAGAGCCCAUGUCACAGUGAUUUGGCUUUGCCCAAUGAGCAUUAACAGGAUGUGCAUGAAGACUAAACAUAGUUUAUGGCCCUAACUGAGAAGGCAGCAACAUGAGACUUAAGGAACUUAAUUCUAUUAGUACUUGCUUUCAGACUAUGUGUUUUCCAGUGGCUGUAACUGCUGAAAUAAAGAGUUGCCUUCUUGUGUUUGCAAUUAUUAUGGCAUAAUAGAAACGUAUCCAAGUGCAUUGA